rnacentral:lncRNA from 10 species
CCCAGGAUCAUCUUUGCAGGCAUCCAGCUGUUUCCCGUGCCCACCUGCCCCCUCAUUAGGUUCUGUAAGAUCACCGUCCUGACCCCCAGGAGCACACUCACCCAUGGGGUCAGGCUGCUAUUAGAAAUUCCUUCCAGAGAUGCCAGGUGAGAGGGAGGCAGGCAGACAGACAUCUGUGGGGGUCACAUUCACCCCAGACAGUUCAUUGCCGGAAGGAAGCCACAUGCCUCACGUCGAAGCUCAUCUGAUUGGAGUCAGACACAGCCAGAUACAGUCAUGAUUGUGUCCAGAGGCCCACGGGGGCUGGCGGGGCCCUUCACGACAGCUGCUACGGCACAGCCCAUCUGGAAGGGCUCUUUUUGUUCAACGCUUUAACCCUCUGAGGACCCUCGGGACCAAGGGAUGCCACACCCUGGGGAGCUCAUACAGACCCAUCACAUCCACCCCCUGCCACCUCUGCAAGCUUGGACAGGAGGUGAGCUCCUCCGAGCUGCAGCUUCCUCAUCUGUAAACUGGGAAUAACAGGAUCUCUAUCAAAGAUGAUGGUGACUAUUCAGAACAGACAAAGCCACAGAGACAGAAACAGAUGAAUGGUUUCCAGGGCUGGGGCAGGAGGAAUGUGGAGUACCUGCUUCAUGGGUACAGGGUUUCUGGUUUGGGGUGAUGAAAAUGUUCUCACACAAGAUCAUGGUGAUGGUUGCACAACCUCAUGAAUGGACUUAAUGCCACUGAAUUGUACACUUUAAUAUGAUUUCAAUGGUAAAUUUUAUGUUAUGUGUAUUUUGCCACAACAAAAAAAAGUUCCUAUGAGAUUAAAUGAAAUGAAGUUUGUAGAAAUGAUUGCACCACCGGGUACAUUAUAGAUCCUCAACAGAUUUUAAUGUCCUUGCUUCCCUGAGAUCAUCACAUUGAAAUGUAGACAAUAUACCCUGCUCUACCCCACAUGCCUCCCCAGGGUGGACUAUUUUUCUAUUUAGAUACUUGCUCCAACAUGCUAAUAGGAUGAAUCCAUGUUUUUCAUAAAGUAAAGCAUUUGAUUCACCAGUAGGAGAGAGAGUAUCCAAUGCUGCCACCCCUGUUCCCUCUUCUGGACUUACCUGUUUCACUGGCCUGGUCUAGGGU